AUUGAACGCUGGCGGCAGGCUUAACACAUGCAAGUCGAGCGGAGCGAGGGUGCUUGCACCUUAGCUUAGCGGCGGACGGGUGAGUAAUGCUUAGGAAUCUGCCUAUUAGUGGGGGACAACAUUCCGAAAGGAAUGCUAAUACCGCAUACGCCCUACGGGGGAAAGCAGGGGAUCUUCGGACCUUGCGCUAAUAGAUGAGCCUAAGUCGGAUUAGCUAGUUGGUGGGGUAAAGGCCUACCAAGGCGACGAUCUGUAGCGGGUCUGAGAGGAUGGACCGCCACACUGGGACUGCGAGACGGCCGAGACUCCUACGGGAGGCAGCGGUGGGGAAUAUUGGACAAUGGGCGGAAGCCUGAUCCAGCCAUGCCGCGUGUGUGGAGAAGGCCUUUUGGUUGUAAAGCACGUUAAGCGAGGAGGAGGAGCUCUAGGUUAAUACCCUAGAUGCUUGGACGUUACUCGCAGAAUAAGCACCGGCUAACUCUGUGCCAGCCGCCGCGGUAACAC
rnacentral:rRNA from 1 species